rnacentral:rRNA from 1 species
UUUACUGUCAGCUUUGGCUAAACUUACACAUGCAAGUCUCCGCCCCCCUGUGAGAAUGCCCACAGUUUUCUGCCCGAAAACAAGGAGCCGGUAUCAGGCACACUCCCCGCAGCCCAUGACACCUUGCUUAGCCACACCCUCAAGGGAACUCAGCAGUGAUAGACAUUAAGCCAUAAGUGAAAACUUGACUUAGUUAAAGCCAAGAGGGCCGGUAAAACUCGUGCCAGCCACCGCGGUUAUACGAGAGGCUCAAGUUGACAGACAUCGGCGUAAAGAGUGGUUAGGAAGUUUUUGAAACUAAAGCCGAACGCCCUCAGAACUGUUAUACGUACCCGAGGGUAAGAAGCCCCACUACGAAAGUGGCUUUAUAUCUCCGACCCCACGAAAGCUGCGAAACAAACUGGGAUUAGAUACCCCACUAUGCCCAGCCCUAAACUUUGAUAGCCCACUACACCCGCUAUCCGCCCGGGUACUACGAGCACUAGCUUAAAACCCAAAGGACUUGGCGGUGCUUUAGAUCCACCUAGAGGAGCCUGUUCUAGAACCGAUAACCCCCGUUAAACCUCACCCUCUCUUGUUCUUCCCGCCUAUAUACCGCCGUCGUCAGCUUACCCUGUGAAGGAACCACAGUAAGCAGAACUAGUACAACUCAAAACGCCAGGUCGAGGUGUAGCAUAUGAGAGG